UCAGCUUGGGUCAACUCUGGCUA
rnacentral:siRNA from 1 species